AUUUUUUGAGCUGAGUGUGAUGGUGAUUAUCUGUAAUUACAGUGAUUUGGGAGGCUGAGGUGGGAGGAUUGCAAGUUUGAGACCAGCCUCAUCAACUUGGCAAGACUCAUCUCAAAAAGGACUGGUGAUGUAGCUAAGUGGUAAAGUGACCACUGAGUGGUAUAUGUAUACAUAUGUGUGUGUGCAUUUUUUUUUUUUUUAAAGCAGUCAGAGAAGUAAUUCCACAGUUUUUCUUUAGUGGUAAGUAGUCUAUUGAUUUGACAUAUUUCUUUUGUGGUUCCUUUUUGUAUUUCCUGUCCCUUGUGGAACUGGAGCCUUGUUUUCAAUAUGAUUAAGUACCAUAACAGCCUGGCCAGUUUUCUCCUAGCCGUUGCUCCUUCCAGUGGGGAGCUGGGACUUGUUCUUGUCACUGGUAGAUAGAUGGUAAAGGUAUUGUAGAGCCAAUAUACUGUGAUUUUGCCUCUUGGAUUCACCCUCACCAGAUUGACUCCUUAGAUACUGAGAGCUGUUAUCAUUUUGAAUGUUUUUUGAGGAUUAGAUUUUCAUUUGUAUUAGGGACUCUCAGAUAUCCUAGAUUCAUACAUUCAUGAGUUAGACCCCUUUUCUGAUUAGCCUUCUGUUCUGUUCUCUGCUGCCUUCUUACUGGAGACACUUCAUGCAUGCUUUUUGUCCAGUUCAGUGAUAGCUAGUUAUUUUCAAGUGUUUGAUUUUUUGCUCUUGUCUUCUCUCAGUUUUGAACUUUCA
rnacentral:lncRNA from 1 species